UGCCCUGUAGCUCAGUCUGGUCAGAGCGGCUGAUUGUUAAUCCGGGGGUCGCAGGUUCGAAUCCUGCCGGGGCAG
rnacentral:tRNA from 1 species